GACGAACGCUGGCGGCGUGCCUAAUACAUGCAAGUAGAACGCACAGUUUAUACCGUAGCUUGCUACACCAUAGACUGUGAGUUGCGAACGGGUGAGUAACGCGUAGGUAACCUGCCUGGUAGCGGGGGAUAACUAUUGGAAACGAUAGCUAAUACCGCAUAAUAUUAAUUAUUGCAUGAUAAUUAAUUGAAAGGUGCAAUUGCACCACUACCAGAUGGACCUGCGUUGUAUUAGCUAGUAGGUGAGGUAACGGCUCACCUAGGCGACGAUACAUAGCCGACCUGAGAGGGUGAUCGGCCACACUGGGACUGAGACACGGCCCAGACUCCUACGGGAGGCAGCAGUAGGGAAUCUUCGGCAAUGGACGAAAGUCUGACCGAGCAACGCCGCGUGAGUGAAGAAGGUUUUCGGAUCGUAAAGCUCUGUUGUAAGAGAAGAACGGGUGUGAGAGUGGAAAGUUCACACUGUGACGGUAUCUUACCAGAAAGGGACGGCUAACUACGUA
rnacentral:rRNA from 1 species